AGCCCCCCCCCCCCUCCUCCUCCUCCCCUUCUCGUACCCGCGCGCCGCCGCCGUUGCCUUCGCCGACAGCCGCCACCGCAGACCCGAGUCGGCGUGUGUGCGUGAUGGCUCACCAUCCCCAAGGUUAUCUGUACCAGCCCUCGUCCGCAUCGCUCGCCCUCUACUCGUGCCCGGCGUACGGGGCCCCCACGCUACUGGGUGGCGCUCGCUCCGAGGAAUUGGGCCGAUCCGGUGCCGGAUCUGCGUUCAGCCCCUACCCGGCUUCGGCCGCCUUCGCGACUGCAGCCGCGGCUGCUGCGACACCGCACGCCUAUAGCCCGCUACAGUACACGGCUGACCACGCAGCCUUCCCUGGAUACGUGGCAUCCCCGUACGACCCCACGGGCCCAGGUCUGGCCGGAGGUGUUGCCGCCUACCACCCCUACGGCACCCCGCUGGGGCCCUAUCCUUACUCGGACGCGGCCUACCGGAAGAACGCGACCCGAGACGCCACGGCGACGCUCAAGGCGUGGCUCAACGAGCACCGCAAGAACCCGUACCCCACCAAGGGCGAGAAGAUCAUGCUGGCCAUCAUCACCAAGAUGACCCUCACGCAGGUCUCCACGUGGUUCGCGAACGCGCGCCGGCGUCUCAAGAAGGAGAACAAGGUGACGUGGGCGCCGCGCGCCAAGAGCGAGGACGAGGAGGAGGAGGAGGAGGACGCGACCAUCGACCUCGAGAAGACGGACGACGACGCCGAGUCGCCCGAGAAAGGGCUGAGCGCGGCGGCGCACGACGGGGAAGUCAAUCUCUUAAACCACGACCGGAGCGCCUCCCCGCGGGACGAUCUCGAUCCGGGAGACGCGUUGAGGCAGGACGAGCACUCCACCACCACCACCACCAUCAACAACAACAUCAACAACAACAUCAACAACAACAUCAACAACAGCGGCGGCAGCAACAACAUCAUCAACCACGCCGCGAGUCUCUCCGAUGCCAUCUCGCCCAGAGACUCAUCCCCCGCUUCUCACGCUCUGCAGGGGGUUGUGAUUGUUGGUGGUGGCGGCGGCGGCGGCGGUGGUGGUGGCGUUGUGAUGGGAGGAGGAGGUGGUGGUGUGAGUGGUGGUGGUGGUGGUGGCGAUGCGUCUGUAUUAAUAUCGCAAAGCAGCGGACCUCCGAAGCCAAAACUUUGGUCGCUGGCAGAAAUUGCAUGCGCCACUGAUGCCAAGCAGAGUCAACUACCCACGCAGCAGCAACAACAACAGCAACAUCAUCAGCACCACCACCACCACCAUCAUCCGCAUCAGCAGCAUCAUCAUCAACAGCAGCAUCAGCACUUGUGCGCUUUAGCUAACGGCGUCGUAGGCGGGACCGGUUCAGGCACCGCGUGCGUUUAUCCCAACUCGGCGGGACUCGCAAGGCCAGUCUAUUACAGCUCCCCCUUCUAUUCCGCAUACACGGGCUACGCUCAUUUUGCCGCUCAUCACGGACUCAGCGGCCUGGCAGCCACCGGCGGAACUCAUCAGCAGCAUCAGCAACAGCAGCACCAGCACAACAAUCAGCAUCACCACCACCACCACCAACAACAACAACAACACCACAGCAACAAUAGCAACAGCAGCAGCAGCAGUAGUAGCAGCAGCGGUAGCGGUAGCGGCCAACACCAUCAACAACAACAACACAGCAACCACAACAACAACAGCAGCAGCGGCGGCGGCAACAGCAGCAACAACAGCAGCAGCAGCAGCAACCAGCAGCAACCGCUGGCCGUCGGAGGCCGCAGCGUAUCAACAGUUGUGCCGAUAGCACACACAGAGACAGCUUUGGCCACACAGGGGCCACUGAGGCUGUUGGAACUUCCCACGGCAGCAGCAGCGGCGGCAGCAGCAGCAACGGCAGCGAUUUGUGCUGUGCAACAGCAGCAGCAGCAGCAACAGCACGCGGCAACAUCACCGCAGACAAUGCUGGUGGUGGGUGGGGGACGGCUGCCGGCCCCGCACGGCGCUUUUCAGCUGCAGGUGGAGGGCAGAGGGAGCCCUCCUCUCCUCCUGCAGGAGGUGAAGAGUCACAGGCACCCCGGGGCGGGCGGCUACGCUGAGACUCAGAGAGACACGGCUUGCGACUUGCGAAAAGAUUCAAAGGACAACCGCCAUUGCCUCGUAUAGAACGCGCUCUUACACGACUGCCUUAUUCAAAAGGUUUUUAUUGCGGCCUCCCCACGCCGUCGCACCUUCUCACGUGGGGGUCGUUUGGCCAUACCUCACCGCAGCUGGCAGAGGUCGCUGUAUCACCAGAUAGAUGAACUGCACGCUCCAAUUACUGUGCGUGGAUGCACGCCCGUGUACACACACACACGUUACACACAUUACAAGACAAAGAUCCCCCGUAUAGCCUCAACGGACUUUUGGGGCAAGUGCUGUUAGCGAGCAUCUAUGAAGGCCGGCACGGCACACGAGGAGGUGG